rnacentral:tRNA from 1 species
UAGCUUAGUUGGUAAAGCACUCGUCUUGCAUACAAGAGUCGUGGGUUUGAAUCCCAC